CUCAUUAUCCCAAUCAUUUCUAUGCUCACUCUGUCCCAGUUUCCAGGCCUUCUAUCAUAAAAACUCCACCCUGUUUUCAAAAGAUUUAACAACUACAAUAAAGCUGCAGAAGACUUCCAGAUGAGUUAACGUCAUGAAAAUUGUAUUUUAUUUGGAAAAUGGAAAUUUAAAAAUCUGCCUCUCCUUAGGUGCUAUUAUGAAAAUCCAGUUAAAACCUAAUCUAUAUGGUAAUUAAGCCCCCAGAGCUGGAUGACAUAAACACACUGUGACAAGAAGACAACAGUCGCCAAGUAACACUUUUAGGCUGAUAAAAAGAAAAGCUAACUAUGGGAUAUUUACUCUGGAUCAGGCAAUACGUAUGAUAUCCUUUAAUCCUCAAAACAAUUCUAGGAGUUAGGGACUGUUAUCCCAUUUCACAGGGAAGUAAAGGGAAGCUAAGAUGCAAAUAUGAGUACCAGUGGCUUAGCCGAGGCCAGAGGUGGUUCAAAU
rnacentral:lncRNA from 1 species